GUGAGAACUCUGAUGCUUCCUCUCUAUGCAAGGUCUGUGAGCUUUAUGACUUCCUUCUGGCUUGGUUGUAAGAGAAAAUCACCUCAAAAGGGCCUGGUAUCACUUUGGGAAGGAGGUCUGAAGUCUUCAAAUGAAAAUGGAGUUUUCUCCUUAUGAUAUAUACAGGAGGAAAUGACAAGAAAUUUUGACUACUUGACUACUUCUCACUGAAAACAAUGGAGGCCAGAAGACACUGAAGUAAUGCCUUUAAAGCGAUAAAAGGGACAAAAAACCCCGCCAACCAGCUUUCUACAUCCCAAGGAAAAAUGUCCUUCAACAAUGAAGAUAAAAUAAAUACCUUUUCAGUGAACAAAAGCUGAGAGAUGUAACUAAGAAGACAAUAUAAGCAUUAAAAUACAAUACUAGUAUUAUUCAAUUAACUCAAAAUAGGUUUUAAAAAAGAGCAACAGAGGAACAAAAACAUGAGGGACAAAUGUAAAACAGACAGCAAGAGGGUAGGUAAAAUUCAAUUACAUCAAUAAUUUCAUUAUAUGUAAAUGAACUGAACACUACAAUGAAAAGGAAGUAAUUGUCGGACUGAACAAAUAAAGCAAUACCCAAUUAUGCUGUCUAAAAGGGGCACAAUAUUAAUAGAAAGUAAAAGAUGGAAAGAAGUAUACAGCAUGAACAAUAUGCAUUUUUAAAAUUGUGUAUUUAUAUUAAUCAGACAAAGUAGACUUAAGUAUUAGCAACAAAGAGAAAUAUUGCAUAAUAAUAAAAGGGAAAAUCAUUAGGAAGAUAAAACAAUCUAAAAGUGAAUGUAAUUAAUAACAGAGCUUAAAGAUAUGUGAAACAGAAACUGAAAGAACUGAAGGAAAUAGACAAAUCCAUCAUAGAGGAGAUUUUAACA